UUACGAGAAACUUCAUAAGUAGAUCAAAUUCAUAAACCUAGAUCACCCUGCAUCUCCAUGGUUUCUGUGCAAUCUGAAUUUAUGUCCAGUUCUUUGAAUGUUUGUACUGAUACAAAAUAUGUUUCUGUGCAUCUCCAUGGCUUUUGAGAGAUUAUUAAUUGUGGUAUUUUCCUAUGCACCCAAUAUGUGCUGUACACUAUAGGGUUUAUCUUAGUAAAAGUUAAAACAGUUUAUAAGGUAGCCUGAAACUUUCACUCUUGAAAACAGAGUGAAAUGCUUAUGUCUAAUAAGAACUCCUUGUAAGAUAAUGAAGUGUUCUUGUGCUUCAAGUUUUGCUUGAUAUGCAGGGCAUUUUACGUGGAUUUUGUAUCACGAGCAUGCAUUAGUGGUUUCAGCUGCAUAGUUUGUGGGCUCAUAUGUGUUGGAAAAUUACAGAACACAAGCAAGUUUGAGUAUUCUAGUAACAAAAAAUAAUAUAAUAAAACUAUGAAGGUAUAAAAAAUGGUGUGUGCAGACAAUAAGCUGUUUCAGCAAUCUGAAAUGUAAGUCUGUUGGGCUUGGUCUGUUACAGUUUUCAAUUUCCCUUUGUUGGUAUGGUUGGUAGGAUUGAGUCCAUGAUAUUUUGACCCUUGAAUAGAUGCCAAUGCAAACCUUCGUGGGUAUUGUAGCUUUGAACCCAUGACCUCAAUGUUGGUAGUCCAAACAGUAGGAGCACAAUGCUUGACCCAAUUACCUUCAAUAUAUUACAGCAACUGCAUUUGGAUGCUUCCAUUAUUUUCUUAUUGGGCUCAUGUAUCCGUGAAGUGAAUUGGCAGGCUGCUCUUGAGGAUGCCCAUGUUCUGGUUGGUGAUGACAUCAACUGGGUUUUUAGGCCUUGCCAUCAGCUUCACUUCAAUGUGGUUUCUUCAUCAGACGGGUGCUACUACAUACAGAUAACUCAUUGAAGCGCCAAGACGUUUGGAUUUUGUGGUCAAUCCAUGGUUUCAUGGCCAUAUAAAAUGAGAAUGAAUCCCCUCAAAUGGAGUUCAAAAUAGCAACAUAUUAAGGGGAAAGGAAGUGCGUUUUGUGCUGGUGGUGAUGUUUUAAAUAUGGCCCAUUUCGUAAUCACCAGUAGAUGUCUCUUUUCUAGCCUGCGACAAAUCCUUUAAUGAUAAGAUAUAAUACAUUGCAAUAGAUUUUUUUUGGUGAUAUUAAGUCAUUUACCGAACGUUUUAUGAAACUCAGUUUUGGAUCUUUGUUUGAUGAUUUUUACUCAAUUGUCAUGGACUACUUUCAUUUUUUGGAGAAUUGGACAUUGUUAAUGACAAUUGUAAUGCUUGGUUUUUUAAUUAAUCAAAUCAUGGGAGCUAAUGAUUCA